ACGGUAACAGGAAGAAGCUUGCUUCUUUGCUGACGAGUGGCGGACGGGUGAGUAAUGUCUGGGAAACUGCCUGAUGGAGGGGGAUAACUACUGGAAACGGUAGCUAAUACCGCAUAACGUCGCAAGACCAAAGAGGGGGACCUUCGGGCCUCUUGCCAUCGGAUGUGCCCAGAUGGGAUUAGCUAGUAGGUGGGGUAACGGCUCACCUAGGCGACGAUCCCUAGCUGGUCUGAGAGGAUGACCAGCCACACUGGAACUGAGACACGGUCCAGACUCCUACGGGAGGCAGCAGUGGGGAAUAUUGCACAAUGGGCGCAAGCCUGAUGCAGCCAUGCCGCGUGUAUGAAGAAGGCCUUCGGGUUGUAAAGUACUUUCAGCGGGGAGGAAGGGAGUAAAGUUAAUACCUUUGCUCAUUGACGUUACCCGCAGAAGAAGCACCGGCUAACUCCGUGCCAGCAGCCGCGGUAAUACGGAGGGUGCAAGCGUUAAUCGGAAUUACUGGGCGUAAAGCGCACGCAGGCGGUUUGUUAAGUCAGAUGUGAAAUCCCCGGGCUCAACCUGGGAACUGCAUCUGAUACUGGCAAGCUUGAGUCUCGUAGAGGGGGGUAGAAUUCCAGGUGUAGCGGUGAAAUGCGUAGAGAUCUGGAGGAAUACCGGUGGCGAAGGCGGCCCCCUGGACGAAGACUGACGCUCAGGUGCGAAAGC
rnacentral:rRNA from 1 species